rnacentral:misc_RNA from 1 species
GGUGUAUCCUCUUCAAUUUGAGAGAAUUUUCUAUGUAAAAGAAAGAAAAAUGAGAGAGAGUGCUAAGGAAAGCUGGCCGACUCAAUGAAGUGGAAAAAAGAGUUGGGUUUUCUUUUAUUGGAUGUUAGAGGUUGUGCUUUCAAUGUUUGAUUGGCUGCCAUAUUUAUUUAUUUAUUUAUUUCAUAAUAAAUGAAAAAUAUAUUU